rnacentral:rRNA from 1 species
GACGAACGCUGGCGGCGUGCUUAACACAUGCAAGUCGAGCGGUAAGGCCCUUUCGGGGGUACACGAGCGGCGAACGGGUGAGUAACACGUGGGUGACCUGCCCUCAGCUCUGGGAUAAGCCUGGGAAACCGGGUCUAAUACCGGAUAUGACUCCAUGACGCAUGUUGUGGGGUGGAAAGCCUUGUGCGGUUGAGGAUGGGCCCGCGGCCUAUCAGCUUGUUGGUGGGGUGAUGGCCACCAAGGCGACGACGGGUAGCCGGCCUGAGAGGGCGACCGGCCACACUGGGACUGAGACACGGCCCAGACUCCUACGGGAGGCAGCAGUGGGGAAUCUUGCGCAAUGGGCGAAAGCCUGACGCAGCGACGCCGCGUGAGGGAUGACGGCCUC